rnacentral:rRNA from 1 species
AUGAACGCUAGCGACAGGCUUAACACAUGCAAGUCGAGGGGCAGCACAGGUAGCAAUACCGGGUGGCGACCGGCGCACGGGUGAGUAACGCGUAUGCAACUUGCCUAUCAGAGGGGGAUAACCCGGCGAAAGUCGGACUAAUACCGCAUGAAGCAGGGGCCCCGCAUGGGGAUAUUUGCUAAAGAUUCAUCGCUGAUAGAUAGGCAUGCGUUCCAUUAGGCAGUUGGCGGGGUAACGGCCCACCAAACCGACGAUGGAUAGGGGUUCUGAGAGGAAGGUCCCCCACAUUGGUACUGAGACACGGACCAAACUCCUACGGGAGGCAGCAGUGAGGAAUAUUGGUCAAUGGCCGAGAGGCUGAACCAGCCAAGUCGCGUGAGGGAUGAAGGUUCUAUGGAUCGUAAACCUCUUUUAUAAGGGAAUAAAGUGCGGGACGUGUCCCGUUUUGUAUGUACCUUAUGAAUAAGGAUCGGCUAACUCCGUGCCAGCAGCCGCGGUAAUACGGAGGAUCCGAGCGUUAUCCGGAUUUAUUGGGUUUAAAGGGUGCGUAGGCGGCCUUUUAAGUCAGCGGUGAAAGUCUGUGGCUCAACCAUAGAAUUGCCGUUGAAACUGGGGGGCUUGAGUAUGUUUGAGGCAGGCGGAAUGCGUGGUGUAGCGGUGAAAUGCAUAGAUAUCACGCAGAACCCCGAUUGCGAAGGCAGCCUGCCAAGCCAUUACUGACGCUGAUGCACGAAAGCGUGGGGAUCAAACAGGAUUAGAUACCCUGGUAGUCCACGCAGUAAACGAUGAUCACUAGCUGUUUGCGAUACACUGUAAGCGGCACAGCGAAAGCGUUAAGUGAUCCACCUGGGGAGUACGCCGGCAACGGUGAAACUCAAAGGAAUUGACGGGGGCCCGCACAAGCGGAGGAACAUGUGGUUUAAUUCGAUGAUACGCGAGGAACCUUACCCGGGUUUGAACGCAUUUCGACCGCUCUGGAAACAGAGCCUCUAGCAAUAGCGAUUUGCGAGGUGCUGCAUGGUUGUCGUCAGCUCGUGCCGUGAGGUGUCGGCUUAAGUGCCAUAACGAGCGCAACCCUUGCCACUAGUUACUAACAGGUGAUGCUGAGGACUCUGGUGGGACUGCCAGCGUAAGCUGCGAGGAAGGCGGGGAUGACGUCAAAUCAGCACGGCCCUUACAUCCGGGGCGACACACGUGUUACAAUGGCGUGGACAAAGGGAGGCCACCUGGCGACAGGGAGCGAAUCCCCAAACCACGUCUCAGUUCGGAUCGGAGUCUGCAACCCGACUCCAUGAAGCUGGAUUCGCUAGUAAUCGCGCAUCAGCCACGGCGCGGUGAAUACGUUCCCGGGCCUUGUACACACCGCCCGUCACACCAUGGGAGUGGGUUGCAAAAGAAGUAGGUAGCUUAACCUUCGGGAGGGCGCUUACCACUUUGUGAUUCAUGACUGGGGUG